ACAUGCAAGGAGAUGAAUAUUUUCAAAAUAAAACAGGAAAAGAGGAAACUACAAAAUAGGACCUAUGAGACUAAAGUUGCGAGAGUCACCAAAAAAUUAUACAUUUGUGUCCAUGUACACAAGUUCUGUAGAUUAUAUUUCAAGACUAACUGCCAUGAUGCUGUGUCAAAAAGUGUCUCUGCAAAUCUGGAGGAUGAGGAGGAUGAAGAAGCACACGUCCAGUCUGAGGUCGUAGUGGAGAUCAGCAGUGAGAGCGAAGCCUGCGUCCACGCCUUCUUUAAGAGGGUCAUAAAAGCUUUCUCCUCCUGUUUCCAAUGGUGACACCAAUCACCAAUAAGCCAAAUUUCUGGUCUACAUGAUCAGUCUCCAUUUUGUGUCAUUUGUUAUUUUCUUCACAGUACUAAUUAUUACCUAUAAUUAUGCUAAUUAUUUAAUUAUGCCAAUAAAAUUACUGACUGUCUUCACUAAUGUGUUCAUGAUGUGUGGAUACGAGUAAAACAGAAGUUACUGCAAAGUAAAUCUGGAAAUAUAAUGAAAUAUGCCUUUUUAUACAGCAAAACAUCACGUGUAUUUGAAUUACAAAGUCAAAGAGGUGUUCAGAAUCAUGAAACAUCUGCUGAUUGUAAUCAGCUGGUGAGGACCACAUGAUCUGAUAAACAGCCUCCACACAACAACUAAAUGAACCUUGAGACUGUGUGUGUGUGUGUGUGUCUAGUUUUCACUGAAUAUUUUUAUGAUGAAAUCAGCAACAUCCUGAACUUUUGCCAGAAAUACACAAAAUAUACACAUAGAUAUUCAGUA